rnacentral:misc_RNA from 1 species
CUUAUUUAACGAUUUAUUUUGCACAAAAUCCGCCCUGUAGACUAAUUAUGUUUGUGUUUUCACUUUCACAGACUGGUUACAUCGGCGCUUUGCCUCAUCUGCUGAUGACCAUAGUGGUGCCCCUUGGAGGUCUGCUGGCCGAUCACAUACGGAAAAACGGUAUCCUGUCCACGACUAGCGUCAGGAAGAUUUUCAACUGCGGAGGUUUUGGCAUGGAAGCCACGUUUUUCCUCGUGUUGGCCAACGCCCGCACGCCGCUCAUGGCCACGAUCGCCUUGACCUGUGGCGUGGCGUUCAGCGGUUUCGCCAUUUCCGGGUUCAACGUUAACCAUUUGGACAUUGCGCCGAGAUACGCUAGUAUACUGAUGGGCAUAUCGAACGGAAUUGGUACGAUAGCAGGGCUUCUGUGUCCGGUCGCGAUCAACAUCAUCAUCAGGCACAAGACGAGGCAGAGCUGGAGCGAGGUAUUCAUACUGGCCGCCGUCAUUCACUACAUUGGGGUGGUGUUCUACGCAAUAUUCGCUUCUGGAGAAUUGCAACCGUGGGCCGAGCCCAAGGUCGAAGAAGAUCAACAAAUGGAUGAGGUGAGCGUCGACAAGAAGAGUAAGCUUACGUCGUACGGUUCGGUCGAACAGUCGUCGGGCAAAGGGUUCGUGAACGCUGGCCUCAACACCAACUGCACCAUCGGCGAGACCGAACCGGCGCCGCCGACCGACAACCCGACAAAUCCGUUCCUGGCCAAGCCCACCGCAGCCACCACCAAUCCGUUCGCUACCUCCGAGUGAUAAUCUGAUUAUUAAUGAUAAAUUAUUGAUGUAACGGAUAAUUCGAGUUCGGAUCGCGCUGUCGUCACGUCGAUUAUUACUACACGGAUUAUAAUAUUAUGAUAUAAUGAUAAUAAUAAAAAUUAUUAUUAUUGUUACAUUGUAAAGGUCGCAGGAGGUACUUCGCGAGCAAUAAUACCGUUAAUUGCGUAGUCUCGAUUGCACGUAGUUGUUUCGUAGGUAUUAAAAUAAUAAUUUUUAGGUAGAUAAUAUUACUAAAAUCGAUUUUCUCUCAAUUAUACAACUAUUAUAUAGUAAUAAUUAUAAUAACAUAAUAAUAGUAUUAUCGUACACACUCGUCGUCUCAUCUAUAUAUUGAAUGAUACUAUUAUUAUAAUAUAAUAGAACCUAGAACAUGAAUUUCGCGUUUAUCGAUACAAUGUAGCGUAAAUCGUAAUAAAUUUGCAUUUAUCGAUUUUUCCAAAUUAAUAAUUAUUAUCUUAAUAUUAUAAUAUACUGUCAAUUUGUUUUUAUACAAUUCCGAAUAAUAUAGAUUCCGUCUUGUGACGGAUGUAAAAUAUAAUAUAAUAUUGUUAUUUAUUAUAAUGUUUAUACAGCUUGGUCGGCUCGAAAGUGCUCGGCUUCAACGUUAUAAUAAUGUGUAAUAUUAUAAUAUAUUUUAUAGAUAUUUAUUACUUCACCUUAAUAUAUAGGUAGGUAAUAUCGUAUCUGAACUUAUGGUACUUACGUAUUACCCGGUACUUGGUUUCACACUGUUUUUAAACUCUUAAAUAUUAAUAUCAAGAAUACUCGAAUAAAAUUUAAUAAUCAUAAUUAUGAACUUAAAAUAUAGUACAAUAUUAUUUCAGUUGCACAAAAAAUAGUAAAAAAGUUUGUUUUGAAAAAACAUAACUAUAUUCGGUACAAUUAAAACACUUAGUUGAUAGUAUCUUAAGUUAUUUAUGUGUUUCUUUAUUAAGAAAGUUGUGUGUUGGAGGGACAACAAUAAUAUUGCAGUAUCUAUAUCUUUUGAAAUUGAAUCAAAUAAAUUGUUCAAAUCAGCGGGAUUAUGACGUUACACGAAGUGUAAACUUUAAUUAUAGGUCUAUAAAAUUGUCGACCCUGUGCCAAUUAACGUUUUAUUAGUAAAAAAUGUAUUUACACACUAUUAUGUCAUCGUCUAUAGUCUGUUGUGUGUUGUUUAUUUAAUCACGAAUUGAGCUAGGAUGAAAUACUAUUGUAUCCUGGUUUUCGAGUGAAACCUUUCAUGUUCUGAAAAUGUUACCAGCAGUGUAGAAUUUCAUGACCAUUUGACCUCUGUAACUGCAAGUUGAUAUAGUUAAAUAUUUUUCAACUUAACGGUAAUACCUAACAAACUACAUGGAAUGAUAUUCAUAAGAUAAGCACAGCUAGUUCAACCAAUUAAAACACUGGGAUUUUAACACGUCAUGACAGAGUGUAAAUAGACGCUUUAAAUGUUUUGUACGAUUUUGUUAAUGGUACACCGAGUGAUCCAUUUAACGUAAGACACUCGUUGUUUUAAUAACUAUUAACAAUAUUUUAACAUAAUUUUAGUUCGUUAAAAAAACAAAAUUUUAUUGAAUAAUUAUAUUUUUUAUUAUUUUUCAUCGUAAUUAUUUUUUAACAACAUAUAUAAAUGACAACACGCCAUUUUAACUCCUUAUUUCAAAGCAGAAUAUUUUUUGAAGUACUUUGAUAAUUAAAAAUAAAAUUUUGGACAAGCAAUUUAUGAGUCAGUAUUUACAGUUUGGAUAAACGGAGCGGAGUGGCACAGGGGUUCCCAGCAAAAUUUAGUCGUUCAAAAAAGUACCAAACUACGGUCUGUGGACAAUAUGUAAGUACCAUAAAUUACGAUGGUGCGAUGAUCGCAUAAUAAUGUAUUCUGUCAAUUUCUUUUUAUACAAUGUAAUAAUAGAUUAUAUUCCUUAACGGAUGUUAAAUAAUUAUAAAAUUAUGUGUUAAUGUUUUAUAAGCUUCGUCGGCUCAAAUGCGUUCGGCCGCGUUUUAUAUAAUAAUAAUAUAGGUAGGUACUAUAUAUACGGAUUAGGUUAUAGCGGCUUAGGUUAGGUUAGACUUUUCCGAACGAUUGUUAUAUUAUUAUGAUGUACGUUUUUUUUCGUCUAACACAAAAUAUUAUAUUGUAUUAAGGUAAUGCUUAUUCUCGGUCAGAAUCGAACGCGUGUUGAAAUGUGAUUCGAUAAUGGUCAUAUUAUAAUAAUAAUAUGUAUAAUACCAUCACGGCGCAUACGCAUAAUAUGCGUUGAAAAUAAGUAGUUAUAUUAUUAUAUCGAAUCGUCAUCUGCGAUUUUUUAGUUGGGAUUCUUUGCCGAAACUCGUCGUGUGAUUCGUAAUAAAUAUAUAGGUGUAUUAUGUAUGCAUAAUACUAAGUAUAAAACGGUUGUAUGGGAACUGAUGACGUUGCUGAGAUGAUAAUAUAAUAAUUUAACGUCUCUCGUCCGACGCUCACCCAUAUUAUGGCCAGCGUGGUUUAGAGUAAGACGUGUUAUGUCUGCUAAAAAGCGCGUAAAUUAUUAGACGAUUUAAAUACCUGCAAAAUAUGGAAAAUAUGGUGUAUAAUAUAAUAUUAUAAUAUAGUCACUAUAUUAUGUAGUUAUAUGUUAGUAUGUCCAUCGCAUAUUUCGUAUGCGAUGAAUGCCUUUUCGAAAUUCGUCCUACUGUGAUACAAUAUAACAUAAUAGUAUUUUAUUUUAUGCACGCCUGUAACUGGGCCGGCCGGGCUAUAUAUUUUCGUUGUUCCGAUACAACCAAAAUGUUGGACUUAAAAUACAACGAUAAUAUUAUUAUAAUAGUACCUAUGUGUACGACGAAUAACAGUAAAAAUAUUAUGAUAUUGUAUUGCUCCCCAAACGACUCGACGACCCGCCGUGUCGGGAUGAAAAUCAAACGUCGCAACAAGUUGAUUUUUUUCUAGUGGUUGUAUUAAACGUUUUUAUUUACGCAUAAUAUAACUCCUUCCAGUUUUUUCUGCUAGUUCGAUUUGAAAUCGAGUAAACGAUAAGAUACUUUUGAGAAGUUUUUUGAAUAAUGUCAAUUAAAACACAUAAAUAUGAAAUAUGGUUCUGUUGAUUUCUUCGUCGGAUAUUAACUAAUGUUUUCUUUUGUAAACAAAAUAACUAAUAUGUCUUAACGUAGACGAGUAUACUAAAACAAAACAAAAAACUGUUUAGGUCGCGCACACCAAUAUACCAUAACAAUAAUUCUUCAGCUUUCGCGUUUUCUAUCGGUGAAAUAAGAAAACGAUCACACGAACUUACACCAUUAUAAGACGUAUAUAUUAAUAUUGUUCAUCGUCAUAAUAUGAAUUCUACUCGCUUUGAAUACUCAACGCGCUUCAAUAAAAAUUCAAACCAAUGAUAUAGUUUACUCAAUGUUCGAACUCAAGUAGAACCAAAAUCUCGAAGAAAACAGUUUGGUCAUGUAUAGCAAGUGUAAAAAUAUAUGAAAGUAGAAUGUGCUGCGCGGACAUCGUUU